GGUUUAAAGGAGUGAUGGAUACAGAUUGCCCCAUAAGUGCGUUGACCGUAGCUUCAGAUCUGGCUGUGUCCCGGACAUCCUGCCUUCAGCCUCAGUCCAGGAGCCAGAGGGUGACAAGGAAAGGGAGAGGGAAAGAUGGAGAGAGGAGAGAAGAAAGAAGAUGAAAAAAGAAGGGGAAGUGGGGGGGAGAUGGCAGAAUGUGACAGGGACCCUGAGCACAUGUAGCCACUUGGAAGGGGGGCUUACCACCACCAGAGAGAAGCUAAAACCCUGUGGACCAGCCCCAGACUCUUGGGGAAGACUUUCCCGCUUGGAACAAGAGCUUAAUGAUUCCUGGAGGAGUGUUAUGAUUUCUGCAAAAUCGCCCCAAAGCAGUAAGAGUGGCUGGAGGGAGUUUCUCUUGCAUCUGAACUACUGGUAAAGAAAGAAGAGAAACAUCUCAACUAGAGAAAGGACUGCCUUGAAGUCACGGCCAGGAAUGGUUUGGAACCGGCUGGCUCAUGAACUCCCAGGGGCAGGCAGAGGGAUGAGUGGUGGCAUCAGAAUCCUGGCCUUACCCUAAGCCAUGAAUAUGGAGUUAAACAAAAAAAGAAAAAAAAGUUGCCAAUACUUGCAUCAGUAUUAUCAAUAACAGGAACUCCACAGUAUGUUUUGCAGAUGGAAAAGUAAAUAUGUUCUCCCUGGGUCCAUACUUCAAAAAAUUCUUAGCUAUUCUUGGAAACACGAAGCGCUAAAGAAAUGCACCACAUUAUGAUCUGGGAUCUUUAGAGUCAAACUGCAUCAGGAUUUGUUUCUUAAGCAUCAAGAAAGGAU